CUCUUUUGUUCCCUGUCCCACCGUAUUCCUCUGCCCUGCCCAGUCCGGUCUAUCUGUUUCCUGGAGAUCCAGGGGAUUCAGUGCAAGGCCUGGAGCUCAUUGUAAUGUCCUGUGUGAGGCCAUAUCAGCAGGUUGAAGGGUCUGCAAUGGAAGGCUGAAGAGUCUGCGCUGGAAGCCAGGAGACAAAAUCCAAGGUGAAGGAAAAGCCUGGAGCUCGU
rnacentral:lncRNA from 1 species